rnacentral:rRNA from 1 species
CUGAACACAGUCUCAUUGCGCGUGCAAGGAAGACGGCCCUCGGUUUGUAAUUGGUUAUACGGGAGGAAACUCCGACGUUUCGGGGCUGACGGUAUCGUUACGAAUAAGCCCCGGCUAAACUCCGUGCCAAGCAGCCGCGGUAAUUACGGAGGGGGGCAAGCGUUAUCGGGAUUUAUUGGGUUUAAAAGGGUCCGUAGGCGGAAAGUUAAGUCAGAGGUGAAAUCCUUGCAGCUCAACUGUAGAAUGCCUUUGAUACUGAUUUCUUGAAAUAUGUUCGAAAGUGGGCGGAAUGUGUCAUGUAGCGGUGAAAAUGCAUAGAUAUGACACAGAACACCGAUUACGAAGGCAGCUCACUAGUCCCAUUAUUGACGCUGAGGGACGAAAGCGUGGGGAGCGAACAGGAUUAGAUACCCUGGUAGUCCACGCUGUAAAACGAUGAUCACUCGUCAUUGGCGACACACUGUCAGUGACCAAGCGAAAGUGUUUAGUGAUCCACCUGGGGAGUACGUUCGCAAGAAUGAAACUCAAAGGAAUUGACGGGGGCCCGCACAAGCGGUGGAGCAUGUGGUUUAAUUCGAUGAUACGCGAGGAACCUUACCAGGGCUUGAACGCAUUUUGACAGGCUGGGAAACCAGCCCUUCUUCGGACAAUUUGCGAGGUGCUGCAUGGUCGUCGUCAGCUCGUGCCGUGAGGUGUCAGGUUAAGUCCUAUAACGAGCGCAACCCCUAUUCUUAGUUGCCAGCGGAUAAUGCCGGGGACUCUAGGAAAACUGCCAGCGCAAGCUGUGAGGAAGGUGGGGAUGACGUCAGAUCAUCACGGCCCUUACGUCCUGGGCUACACACGUGCUACAAUGGCGAGUACAAAGGGCAGCUACCUGGUGACAGGGUGCUAAUCUCGAAAGCUCGCCUCAGUUCGGAUUGGAGUCUGCAACUCGACUCUAUGAAGCUGGAAUCGCUAGUAAUCGCGCAUCAGCCAUGGCGCGGUGAAUACGUUUCCGGGCCUUGUACCCACCUCCCGUCAAGCCAUGGAAGCUGGGGGUGCCUAAAGUCGGUCACCGCAAGGAGCCGCUUAGGGCAAAACUAGUAAAGGGGGCUAAGUGGUACCAAGGUAGCCGU